CACAUAUUCCCUCCCCUUAUCCUGAGAGGAAACUCAAUUACACAUACAGUUAAAACAUACUUUCUACCCAACUUUCAUAACUCUAAAACCAUACAUCACAUUCACAUAAAAUUACAUAUUCACAAUCAAUCCAUUCAGGGGAACAACAUAUUUAAAAAUGGCAUGAAUCCGACCAGGGGUUCAGAAGUUAGUAAAAGUAUCUUUUGGGCCCUGGCUGGCACAUGGCUAUCUGGCUCAAACAGGUUUUACAGAGCCCUCUAUCCUGG
rnacentral:lncRNA from 1 species